rnacentral:lncRNA from 1 species
AAAAAUCAAAAUUGUCGAUAUAGACAAGUCGUAAUACAUCAUACGGAGCUACUCAUGUCCUCAAACUACUGAGCGAAGUGCAAAUGCUCAAAAUGACCAGUCGGGUCAUUACAACAACAAAUAAUAACAGCUAUCGUUAAAAAUGAGAGGAAUGAAAGUUGGACUCUUGAGAUUGGGCUGGCAAGAAAACUAGGCCCAAAUUGACUAUAGCAUCGGCAGACUCCAACUAACAGGGAAAGCAACCCGGUUCUAGAACUUGGGCCUGAGUCCCAAAUGAAUUCUGCAGGCCCAAUCGAACAUGCAUACCAAAAAGGAAAGAUAAUAAUUAGUGUAUAUCAGCAUAGGAUGAAAUAAUAUAAAAUCAUAACAAGUGAUAAUAAUAAAUAGCUUAGGAAUACAGUAAAGUCAAUUUUAUUUGUGCUAAACCUAUGAGGAUUAAUUAAAGUCGGUGAUAAAAGACUUAGGGUAAAUAUAAUUUAUGGAUAAAGUCCCCCUUGACAUAUUAGAGUUUACGAGGGUCUCAUGAACACCGAGCUGUGCUUGUGCCAGUGAAGGGUACCUUAACCACAAACCAAGCUCACACCCAAAUACCUUGGGUCAUAAACUCUUACUCUUUCCAAAGGUUUGGACACAAACAAAGUGUCACCUUAGCAGUUUCACAUAGCCAACUUGAAAGAGACAAGUAUCAAAGGUUCAUUAGAAGCUUUUCAAAGGUUCAGACACUCAUAAAUUCAGCAAUUUGGAAACACACAUCCACAUUAGACAUUGCAACUAUUACUACAGUACAAGGGUAUAGGCAGCUCAGAACCAAUACAAUAUUGACCUUAAGAUCUCUUAUCAGAACACUGAGUAUAAAGAUAAAUCACUAUAGGUAGACCUUUAGGAUUCUAAUAAAAUCAAAGACCCCGAAGUUGAUCAUAACAUGUAUAGGACACUUAAGAGGAUCACUACUAGGUUACAGUCAAACAGAGUCAUAGAAUAAAGAAGGUCAAUUGUAUGCCAUCAGCAGAUAGGAGUUGUUUCUAACCACAUCAAGUUCAUAAGUGUCUUAUUAAGUGAUAUAAAUAUCAGUAAAUAAUAAAGAAGAACAUAUGCACUAGCUUUAUUAAUUAUAUCGUAAGUUCAACACUUCAGGAUCCCUUUAAAUAUGUUCAUAUCAUCAGAACAUGUCAACAAGCAUUUGAACAAUCUUCAGAAACGUUUUGGGUGAGUAUGCAUGUAAUUAGGAUCUUACAUCAUUAAACACUUAGGCUAAUAAUUUUACUCAGACUUCAACACGGAGUAUAUCAAUCAACCAGAUUAGCAAAGACCUCAAUAUAAAUAGGAAAGUUAGUUUUAGUCUUUGUUUGGACCUAAUGGACAUGGUAUCACAACACGGAGUGACAACAUAUAGUCUAUUAGGUUUACAAAUUACCCGAUCCAAACAACACUGAGAUUCUUGAUUAAGUUCUUCUAUAAAUAGCGAUGUCAAACAGACAUAAGACAGUUAGUAGAGAUGUUCAUUCUCAGUUGGUUGAAGCAGGGCAAACAUAUCAGAACAUGUUCACUUAAACAUGUAAGUAAGUUCACUAUGAAGUUACACCAAAAAAGUCUACCAUUUAGAUCCUAUAGGCAUGGCAUAGUAUAUGUUUAACAAAAUUCAGUUAAGCUAUUGAGUUAUCAAGAUAAGAAAUCCUUCAAAUUGACAAGAGAAGUCUUUCCAAAUAGUGUCUUAGACAUCACAUGAUCAUGGAAGAACUAGAAAACAUAAAUGGCCAAAACAAACAGGCAGAGGAAUACAGAAUAUCAUUUUAGAUAAACAAGCAGGGUUACUGUGGUACUCUAUGUCAAGAUCUGUCAUGUAUUCACAUCUUUAUUAGGCUAUCAUGAUAGACCAUUCCCUUUCAGUUAAACAGAAUCAAUAUGAGGCCAAACAUAGCUGUUAUCUAAGGCUUCUUACUUAGACAAAUAGAUUAGCAUAAUGGGAUAAGCAUAGCUAUUGGGAAGACCCUUUAAAUCAACAGGGGACUAUAGGUGAGUUGACAUAGUGAUAUAAACAUAAAAUUUCUCAAAUAAGAGCAUGUGAAGGUUGACAUUACUGGAUUAGCAUAAUUAGCAUGAUGAGUAUAGAAGUCAAGUAUAGAAGUAUAGAAGUCAAAUAGGUGUCAUUCAAUCAAUACCACAUGAAGAGUUGCAUAUAGCUACUAUCAUGAAAUCCAAAUAGUCAUGAAGAAUCAACAGAUUAUUUACAAAAAUCAAUAAGGAGUCACUUAAGUUAUGUGAUCAUGAAAACAUUUAGCAACCAUCAUGGAAUGUUAAUUUAUCAGCAAGAUAGAAGUAAACACAAUUUUCAGGAAAGUAUUAUCAACUUAAACAAGAGUAACACAAGGACAGAACAUAAUGAGAUAGUUGCUUGACCAUUGAUGAAUACCAUGAAGAAUCAGAAUAGCAAGUAACUAACAGAAAAGCAUCGAAACGAAAAGCCACAUAACUAAUUGAAAGAUAUAAAGAGGGGAUCAGUGUUCACUGACCUUUUUCGGAGCAGCAAACCAAGUAAAGAAAGUUUGUAGCAGUUUAGGAAUCCAAACAUAUAACUAACAUACAGCAAUCGAACUCGUACAAGAAGAAAAAAAAAGGAGAUUAGAGCAGGACUUCUGAACAUUUAGAACAACAGAAAAUUCUUAAGUUUUAAUGCUCUCUUUUUAUAUUUUUAGUGUAUUUCUGAUGUCUUAGGUGUGCUUGGUGAGGACAUUCAAUGUUCUAUUUAUAGUGGCAUGAAGCCAUUAGGGUUCUAUUUGAAUUCGAAGAGGUAGUGGAGAAUGACAAUUGAGAGAUGACGAUAGCAAAAGGGGGAGGGAGGGGGUACAGAAGAGAGCACAAGGGAAAAAAGAGUGGAGUUUUACCUAGGCACGAAGAUGGAGGAGCCGAC